rnacentral:rRNA from 1 species
CAACAGGGAUUGCCCUAGUAACGGCGAGUGAAGCGGCAACAGCUCAAAUUUGAAAUCUGGCUCUUUUAGAGUCCGAGUUGUAAUUUGCAGAGGGCGCUUUGGCUUUGGCAGCGGUCCAAGUUCCUUGGAACAGGACGUCACAGAGGGUGAGAAUCCCGUACGUGGUCGCUAGCUAUUGCCGUGUAAAGCCCCUUCGACGAGUCGAGUUGUUUGGGAAUGCAGCUCUAAAUGGGAGGUAAAUUUCUUCUAAAGCUAAAUACUGGCCAGAGACCGAUAGCGCACAAGUAGAGUGAUCGAAAGAUGAAAAGCACUUUGGAAAGAGAGUCAAACAGCACGUGAAAUUGUUGAAAGGGAAGCGCUUGCAGCCAGACUUGCUUGCAGUUGCUCAUCCGGGCCCUUUUGCCCGGUGCACUCUUCUGCAGGCAGGCCAGCAUCAGUUUGGGCGGUGGGAUAAAGGUCUCUGUCACGUACCUCUCUUCGGGGAGGCCUUAUAGGGGAGACGACAUACCACCAGCCUGGACUGAGGUCCGCGCAUUUUUGCUAGGAUGCUGGCGUAAUGGCUGUAAGCGGCCCGUCUUGAAACACGGACCAAGGAGUCUAACAUCUAUGCGAGUGUUUGGGUGUCAAGCCCGAACGCGUAAUGAAAGUGAACGGAGGUGGGAACCCGCAAGGGUGCACCAUCGACCGAUCCUGAUGUCUUCGGAAGGAUUUGAGUAAGAGCAUGGCUGUUGGGACCCGAAAGAUGGUGAACUAUGCUUGAAUAGGGUGAAGCCAGAGGAAACUCUGGUGGAGGCUCGCAGCGGUUCUGACGUGCAAAUCGAUCGUCAAAUUUGGGCAUAGGGGCGAAAGACUAAUCGAAC